GAUGAACGCUGGCGGCGCGCUUAACACAUGCAAGUCGAACGGUGAAGCAGAGCUUGCUCUGUGGAUCAGUGGCGAACGGGUGAGUAACACGUGAGCAACCUGCCCCUGACUCUGGGAUAAGCGCUGGAAACGGCGUCUAAUACUGGAUAUGAGCUGCGACCGCAUGGUCAGCAGUUGGAAAGAUUUUUCGGUCUGGGAUGGGCUCACGGCCUAUCAGCUUGUUGGUGAGGUAAUGGCUCACCAAGGCGUCGACGGGUAGCCGGCCUGAGAGGGUGACCGGCCACACUGGGACUGAGACACGGCCCAGACUCCUACGGGAGGCAGCAGUGGGGAAUAUUGCACAAUGGGCGAAAGCCUGAUGCAGCAACGCCGCGUGAGGGAUGACGGCCUUCGGGUUGUAAACCUCUUUUAGCAGGGAAGAAGCGAAAGUGACGGUACCUGCAGAAAAAGCGCCGGCUAACUACGUG
rnacentral:rRNA from 1 species